GACGAACGCUGGCGGCGUGCUUAGCACAUGCAAGUCGAACGGACAGACGCUGAUCUUGUGGGUUGCUCGAGUGGCGAGCGGGUGAGUAAAACGUGUGUAACCUGCCCUUAUCUGUCGGAUAACAUCAGGGAACUGGGGCUCAAACCGGGUAUGAGCUACUGAUGCAUGGGGGGGGUUGGAAAGAGUCGGCUGUUCGGGAUGGACUCGCGGCUUAUCAGCUUGAUGGGGGGGUAGUGGAUUACGAAGGUUUUGACGGGUAGCCGGCCUUGGAGGGUUACCGGGCACAUGGGGACUGAGAGACGGACCAGACGGCUACGGUAGGCAGUAGGCGAGAACAUUGCACAAUGGGCGGACGCCUGAUGCAGCAACCCCGCGUGCGGGAUGACGGCCUUCGGGUGGUAAACCGCUUUCGCAUGUGAUGAAGCGUGAGUGACGGUAAUGGGUAAAGAAGCACCGGCUAACUACGUG
rnacentral:rRNA from 1 species